AUUGAACGCUGGCGGCAUGCCUUACACAUGCAAGUCGAACGGCAGCGGGGGAGAAGCUUGCUUUUCCUGCCGGCGAGUGGCGAACGGGUGAGUAAUACAUCGGAACGUGCCCCGUAGUGGGGGAUAACUAGUCGAAAGAUUAGCUAAUACCGCAUACGACCUGAGGGUGAAAGUGGGGGACCGCAAGGCCUCAUGCUAUAGGAGCGGCCGAUGUCUGAUUAGCUAGUUGGUGGGGUAAAGGCCUACCAAGGCGACGAUCAGUAGCUGGUCUGAGAGGACGAUCAGGCACACUGGGACUGAGACACGGCCCAGACUCCUACGGGAGGCAGCAGUGGGGAAUUUUGGACAAUGGGCGAAAGCCUGAUCCAGCAAUGCCGCGUGUGUGAAGAAGGCCUUCGGGUUGUAAAGCACUUUUGUCCGGAAAGAAAUGGCUCUGGUUAAUACCUGGGGUCGAUGACGGUACCGGAAGAAUAAGGACCGGCUAACUACGUGCCAGCCGCCGCCGUAA
rnacentral:rRNA from 1 species